CCCCUUAAUCAUGGCUGUCUUCUUCUUGGAGAAGUCUUUGCUUUGUGCUCUUCACACCAACAGAAAUCUCUUCUCAAGGUAAUCUCUUCCAAAACUUAGCAGCUAAACAACACUUGUAUUAUCAACUCUGUUUUAUUUUUCUCUGUUUUUGCAAUGAGCAAGCGUAUCAUGAGAAGAGGCGUCUUCUCCCUUUUAUUCACCACCAACGUAUCUUGUCAUUAAUCCUGCAAUAUCUCAUUCCUUUUCUAACAAGGAAAUAAGAUCAAAUACCUUACACAAGAACGUUAGACAAUAAAAGCACACAGACAAAGGAAAGUCAAAUUCCCACAUUAUCAAGACUUUCCAAACCAAAUUUGCAAUUAAUAAGAUGACAUAAUAAUUCAAAUUACGAUCCUUAGAAUAUGGAUUCUACAUUCUCCCCCUUUUUGACUAACUAAGAAUCAUACCAAAAAGAACAACUAAGAGAUUAAACCGCCUAGAUAAAACGCCACAAGAAAAACUAAUAAGAAGGCGCCAAUAAAAUAAGCUUGAAGCAGAGAUUUAAUCCUCUAGUUGUCUCCCCCUGUAUGAACUUUGUUAGUCAAAAAUAAUAUAAAUGAAAUUGCUCUUUUAAAAAAAAUUAAGGGGUAGAAGGCAAACCGUGCUUAUUGAUUUCAUCAAGAAUAGAUGUUAGACGCCCAAGAACUUUGGUGGCAUCAUUUAUGGCAGCUUGAAGUUCAUUCUUGAGAUGCACAGGAAACGAAGACUGUGGUGCUGCUCGUGACGUAGAGGUCUGUGGAAGAUCAUUUACCCGGUUGCCCAUGCAAAUGCGCCUAUUGAUUGCGAUAGCUUUGAACGCCGAGAACCCAACUGAUUUGAAGCUUUCGCGGGAGAAAGUAACUUGGUGGAUGCUUUGUUUGAUUUUCUUUUAGAUAUAAUAACCACCGGAUCCAUGGAAUUGUGAUUUGAUAUUUGUUCCAUGGAGAGUGAAGAAAUCCUGAGAACAGACAAGAGAAAAAGAAAACGGCGGAAGAGACGAAGAAAAACAAAGAAGAUUGCUUAGGGUAAAAAAAAACUUUUCUUUUAUCGACUUAAAAUCCUUUUUUUUUUUUUUUUUUUUUUUUUUUAAAUAAAAACAAAUGUUUUAGAAAAAAACAACGACACAAAAAAUGAUUUUUUUUUUUUUUUUUUUUUAAAUAAUUUUUCAAAAAAAUAAGGAAAGGUAUUACCCAAUUAUUGAAGACCAUUAACGACACAUUGAAGAGGGCUGGGCUUUUUGUUUUAUUUUUAUGGCCUGCAAAAACAACUUAAAAACCUUUCUCGGAGAUUAACGAUGAAUGAAAAAAAAAAAAAAAAAAUCAGAGAGAACAAACUCCUAAAGAUUUUCUCAGAGUAAUAAAUCUAGUAUAAUCCAGAGGUUUUGUAAAGAUAUCUGCAAGUUGAAGCGCUGUUGAAACAUGAUCAAUGACAAUCGUUUUAUUUUCAACUAAUUCUCGGAUAAAAUGAUGACGAAUGGCUAUAUGUUUAGUACGAGAAUGCAUAACUGGAUUUUUUGCAAUGUUAAUAGCACUAGUGUUAUCACAGAAUAUAGCCAUAGUGUCUGAAGUUUUACCGUAAUCCAGUAGCAUUUGUUUCAUCCAAAUAAGUUGUGUGCAACAACUUCCAAGUGCGAUAUACUCGGCUUCAGCAGUGGAUAAAGAAAUCGUGUUUUGCUUUUUGCUGUGCCACGAUAUGAGAUUGGUGCCAAGUAGAAAGCAGCCACCACUGGUGCUUUUUCGAUCGUCAGCACUACCUGCCCAAUCAGAGUCGCAAAAACCAACCAAAUUAUCAUCAGUGUCUUUAGAGUAGAAGAUACCGUAGUCGGAAGUGCCGUUGACGUAUUUGAUGAUUCGUUUGACCGCGGUGAGAUGAGAUUUCUUUGGGAAAGCUUGAUAUCGUGCGCAUAUCCCAACACUAAGACAUAAAUCUGGUCGACUCGCCGUGAGAUACAAAAGACUUCCAAUCAUACUUCGAUAUGUUGAUACAUCCACGUCUUCACCUCCUUCAUCUUUGGUUAGUUUUGUUGUUGUACUCAUCGGGGUUUUUGCAGCUUUACCUUUGUCAAGACCGAACUUCUUAACAAGACUACGAGCAUAUUUGGCUUGAGAAAUAAAAAUGCCUUCUGGAAUUUGUUUGACUUGAAGACCAAGGAAGUAGCUUAACUCCCCAACCAUACUCAUCUCGAAUUCUUGAGUCAUGGUGGUGAUGAACUUUUGUAACUGUUCCUGCGAAGUUGAGCCAAAAACAAUGUCAUCGACGUAUAUCUGAAUCACACAUAAUGAAGAAGAGGAGUGUAAUAGAAAUAGAGUUUUGUCUACUCCCCCUUGUGUGUAACCAUUUCCGAGAAGAAAUUGUGUGAGUCUCUCAUACCAAGCUCUAGGAGCUUGCUUUAGACCAUAUAACGCCUUCUUAAGUCGAUAAACAUGCUCAGGUUGAUGAGGAUCCGUGAAACCCUUCGGUUGUUCAACGUAAACUUCCUCUUGUAAGUUGCCAUUGAGGAAGGCACUCUUGACGUCCAUUUGAUGAAGCUUAAAUCCCAUCUGACAAGAUAUUCCAAGUAAUAAACGAAUAGAUUCUAACCGAGCAACCGGAGCAAACGUUUCUUCAAAGUCCACUCCUUCUAUUUGAGUGUAUCCUUGUGCAACGAGACGAGCCUUGUUUCUAAUUAUGUUGCCAAGUUCAUCGGUUUUGUUCUUGAAUAUCCAUUUAGUGCCUAUGACGUUUCCUUGUUCUGGUCUAGGCACGAGAUACCAAACAUCAUUUCGAGUGAAUUGUUCCAGCUCUUCUUGGCAUGCUUGAAUCCAGUAAUCAUCGUCUAGAGCCUCUAUGACAUUCCUGGGUUCAAUGAAAGACACAAAACAAGUAAAAUGAACCAUUUUCUUAUAAUCUACCCUCUCUUUGUCACGAGUGACCCUCUCAUCAAAAACAUCACCAAUCACAUCUGCAAUUGAAUGGUUUCUGUGGACUGUAGGUCGUGAUUCUUGUUCAUCAUCACGAGAAUCAAGCUGGUUUUGAGUAGCUUGUUGAGUCUCCGUCAUUGAGGUAGAACCAGAUUCUUGCUCUGUUUGCUGCGUCCCUGUUGAAACAGACAGAGGCUCUGUUUGCAUUGUUGGAUUUACUUCAGGAGCAGUUUCUGUAUUUGUUGUUUCUGCUGGGAUAUCAGUGAUGACAGGUUGGGUUGGAUGAGUAUUACUCACUGGUGCCACAGCUCUUCUUAAAUCUUCCUGCAAGAUAACAUCAUCCUCAACACGAGGGUUAGUACAUGUUAGCUUAAGAUCAUCAAAGACAACAUUGACAGAAUCAAUUAUUGUCUUUGUUUUCAGAUUAUAAAUCCUGUAAGCAGCACUAUUUGGGGAAUAUCCAACAAAGAUUCCUACAUCACUUUUAGCAUCAAAUUUUCCCAGUUGAUCACGAUCAUUCAGAAUAUAACAAUCACAGCCAAAAACGUGAAAGUAACUCAAAUCAGGUCGUUUACCUUUCCACAAUUCAUACGGAGUUUUACUCAUACCUGGGCGCAUGUAUACUCUGUUGAUUGUGUGACAUGCUGUAUUAACAGCUUCUGCCCAAAAACGAACACUUACAUUGUUACCAUGAAGCAUGGCUCUCGCCAUUUCUUGAAUUGUGCGAUUUUUUCGUUCAACUACACCAUUUUGUUGUGGGGUUCUUGGUGCUGAAAACUCAUGAAAGAUCCCUUGAUCACCACAAAAGUUAGUAAACAUGGAGUUUUCGAAUUCCUUACCAUGAUCACUCCGGAUCCGUUUCACAUUACCUUUCUCAUUCUUUAACUGUAAACACAGAGUCUUAAAACUAUUAAUAGCAUCAGAUUUUUCACGGAGAAAAUCAACCCAAGUAAAACGAGAGAAAUCAUCUACGCACACAAAUAUGUACUUUUUACCGUUAAUACUUGCUGUUGCAACAGGACCCAUUAAGUCCAUAUGUAGAAGAUCCAGAACUUGAGUGGUAUUAAUCAUUGGAUUCUUCUUAUGGCUUACUCGAACUUGUUUACCUUGUAGACAUGGUUUGCACACAACAUUUUCUGGAAAUUUUAGAGCUGGGACUCCUCUUACUGCAUCUGCAUUAACAAGCUUUAUCAGAUUUUUAAAGCGUAUAUGUCCUAACUUUUGAUGCCACAAGGUAGUAUUAUCAAUAGAAGCUUGCUUGCAGCUGAUGUCCUGUUCCAACAGAUAACAACUAUUAUUAUGAGAUCGGUUUCCUGUGAGAAUCAAUUUAGUAUGCUCAUUAUACACUUCACAUCUGAUCUUAGAAAACUGCAUAGUAAAUCCACUAUCACAAAUCUGUCCAACACUGAGAAGAUUGGCCUUUAAAUCCUGCACAUGAAGAACAUUAGUAAUAGUGACUAAUCCUUCAACAACCAUGGAACCUUUACCAAUGAUCUUUCCUUUCAGUCCAUCUCCGAACGUAACGUGACCUCCAUCAUACUUGCGAUAAUCUGAAAGCAAACUCUUGUCCCCUGUCAUAUGACGAGAACAACCACUAUCAAAGUACCAUGAUCUAUCAUUAAGUUUUUGAAGAGAGUUUUUGUGUUGAGAGGUAUAUGCUACGUUGCAGUAAAUACUAUCUUUUCUCACCCAUGCUUGCUUAUAUCGAUAAGGAACGUAAUGUCUCAUGGAACGAAUGUACCUGUAACACCGAGGUCGGAUGUGGCCUUCUCGUCCACAGUAAUGGCAAAUUGGACGAAAUUUUCUUGCAACUACUUGUUGAUGAGAGGUGCUUGUGACAUCUUGUACUCCACCUGAAACAAAGACAGUUUUUGAUGCAGAAUUGUUACCUUUAUACCCAAGUCCGUGAGGUUGAUGACCAACUCUACCAGCAGUAAGGAUUUGAUCAAGUUUUGCGGUUCCGGUGCUCAUCAUUUUCACUCCUUUUCUGGUCUCUUCAAGAUCACGUUGUGUUGCCAACAACUCUUCGUUUUUCUUUUGAAGUUGAGUUUUCAAGUCUUCAAUCUGAGUGUUAAGCUCUUUCCUCUCCUUGAGUAAACUUACAUUUUGACUGCAGGUAGUGACGAAGUUUUGCAGUAGCUCCUCAUAAGUAGGCAGUUCUUCAUCGUCCGAGUACUCCUCAUCAGCUUCAACAGUUUCUGUUAUGGAAGACUCUGUUUUAACAGAUUCAGUUUUGACAGGCUCUUCUAUUUCUGCAGUGAAGGAAAUCACGUUGUUGUAGGAGACAUCUUCUUCAUCACUUUCUGUCUCCGACUCACUUAGUGUUGUUUUUAGUGACUUUUCCUUUCGUUUCUGCAGAUUCGCACAAUCCGCUUUAAGGUGUCCAUACCCUUGACACUCAAAGCACUUAACUGGUUUUUUGUCUUUGCCACGACUACCAUCUCUUUUGUUGAAUCUGCUACCAGAACUUGGAGAUUGCUUGUCUUUCUUCAACAGGUCCAGUUGCUUCACAUAUCUUCCGAUCUUCUUUGUGAGCAUCACCAUAUUCUCGUUUUCAUCAUCACUUUUGUUUUCAGUGGAGACAAAAGCGAGACUCCUUGCUCUUUCAGCUAGACCUCUGUUCUGAUCUUGCAUCUUCAAUUCCAUUUCGUACGUCUGUAGUGAACCAAUAAGCUCUUCCAGCUUCAUCUUCAUAACGUCAUUUGAUUCCAUCAUAGCAGUUUUCUUGGGAGCAAACUUGUCUGGGAGAGAUGUCAAGACCUUCAUGACCAUAUCAAACUCUGUGUAUGUUUUUCCAAGAGCAUACGAUUCGUUUGCAAUGUCUCUUAGCUCUUUGUAGAAUUCAGCAAUCGAGCUGUCAGGCUGCAUUAACAAACUAUCAAAUCUAGAUUUAAGCAUGAUGAGUUUUGUUUGUUUAACCUUAGAUGCGCCUUCUUAGGUGGUUUCCAACGCCUCCCAUACUUCCGUAGCUGUUUUCUGACAAGAGAUCGUUCGGAAUUGACCGACGUCGAUUGCAUUGUAUAUCGCGUUCAAAGCUUUGGAGUUGCUGGUGCAUUUCUUAACUUCUUCUUCAGACCAUAGACUUCUCACCUUUGGUGCAACAUUUCCUUGAGCAUCAGCCAACGUAGGUUCUUUGUAUCCAAUAAUCACAGAAUUCCAUGCAUCGCCAUCAAUAGAGCUAAUGAAGGAUUGCAUUCUGAUUUUCCAGUAGCCGUAGUUUGAACUUCCUUCUAAGAAUGGUGGUCGUGUCACAGAGCUACCUUCUCUAGGAGGAUCCAUCUAGUCUCAAAAUUAAGAAUCGAAUCACUGCAAAAGUUUAAACUUGAUCAGUGAACUUGCUCUGAUACCAUGAAGAAUUUUGAGAUAUACUAGAUAUUGAAAUAAUGCGGAAGCUAAAUAAACAAUAAAGAGACGACACGAGAUUUAACGAGGUAUCGGUUGGUUCUUUCAAACCAACCACUAGUCCUCGGGCUGCAAACAAGUUUAUUAGAUCACUUCAAGAAGACAAGUACACGAUAGACUAAAACUUCUACACAAGUUUUAAUACAUCUACCGAAGAAACAUGAACUAAGGUUACAAGUAAAAUCAGUUUACUCCCCCUUAAUCAUGGCUGUCUUCUUCUUGGAGAAGUCUUUGCUUUGUGCUCUUCACACCAACAGAAAUCUCUUCUCAAGGUAAUCUCUUCCAAAACUUAGCAGCUAAACAACACUUGUAUUAUCAACUCUGUUUUAUUUUUCUCUGUUUUUGCAAUGAGCAAGCGUAUCAUGAGAAGAGGCGUCUUCUCCCUUUUAUUCACCACCAACGUAUCUUGUCAUUAAUCCUGCAAUAUCUCAUUCCUUUUCUAACAAGGAAAUAAGAUCAAAUACCUUACACAAGAACGUUAGACAAUAAAAGCACACAGACAAAGGAAAGUCAAAUUCCCACAUUAUCAAGACUUUCCAAACCAAAUUUGCAAUUAAUAAGAUGACAUAAUAAUUCAAAUUACGAUCCUUAGAAUAUGGAUUCUACAUU
rnacentral:lncRNA from 1 species